CCUACGGGAGGCAGCAGUGGGGAAUUUUCCGCAAUGGGCGAAAGCCUGACGGAGCAACGCCGCGUGAGGGAUGAAGGCCUCUGGGCUGUAAACCUCUUUUAUCAAGGAAGAAGAUCUGACGGUACUUGAUGAAUAAGCCACGGCUAAUUCCGUGCCAGCAGCCGCGGUAAUACGGGAGUGGCAAGCGUUAUCCGGAAUUAUUGGGCGUAAAGCGUCCGCAGGCGGUCUUGUAAGUCUGUCGUUAAAGCGUGGAGCUCAACUCCAUUUCGGCGGUGGAAACUACAAGACUAGAGUGUGGUAGGGGCAGAGGGAAUUCCCGGUGUAGCGGUGAAAUGCGUAGAUAUCGGGAAGAACACCAGUGGCGAAGGCGCUCUGCUGGGCCAUAACUGACGCUCAUGGACGAAAGCUAGGGGAGCGAAAGGGAUUAGAUACCCCUGUAGUCCUAGCCGUAAACGAUGAACACUAGGUGUCGGGGGAAUCGACCCCCUCGGUGUCGUAGCUAACGCGUUAAGUGUUCCGCCUGGGGAGUACGCACGCAAGUGUGAAACUUAAAGGAAUUGACGGCUGAAGAGUGCGAGAGACGACGAGGAGAGG
rnacentral:rRNA from 1 species